CUCGAAAUCCCUUCGCUGAGGGAAACGACGCGCAAAAUGGGUAUCUGACGCUUUUGGACACUUGAGCAUCUGCUACAUCUCUGAGAGAUUGCGCAUAGCGACAGAAUGCCCCCAUAACCUCUGCUGCAACGAGGAGCAAGAUAAGUGAAGAGAAAUAGAAGAAGCCAUAAAUCUGACUUCAGCAGGUUCGAAAAUAAGUGCUCCCCGCAGCGAACUGCGAUGAGGCUCGCUUCACUUCCGCACAAGAGGGAAAGGCUGUAGACGAAAAGGACUGAGGGA
rnacentral:sRNA from 1 species